AUUGAACGCUGGCGGAAUGCUUUACACAUGCAAGUCGAACGGCAGCAUAGGUGCUUGCACCUGAUGGCGAGUGGCGAACGGGUGAGUAAUACAUCGGAACGUGCCCAGUCGUGGGGGAUAACGUAGCGAAAGUUACGCUAAUACCGCAUACGAUCUACGGAUGAAAGCGGGGGACCGUAAGGCCUCGCGCGAUUGGAGCGGCCGAUGUUAGAUUAGGUAGUUGGUGGGGUAAAGGCUCACCAAGCCGACGAUCUAUAGCUGGUCUGAGAGGAUGAUCAGCCACACUGGGACUGAGACACGGCCCAGACUCCUACGGGAGGCAGCAGUGGGGAAUUUUGGACAAUGGGCGCAAGCCUGAUCCAGCCAUUCCGCGUGCAGGACGAAGGCCUUCGGGUUGUAAACUGCUUUUGUACAGAACGAAAAGCUCUGGGUUAAUACCUCAGGGUCAUGACGGUACUGUAAGAAUAAGCACCGGCUAACUACGUG
rnacentral:rRNA from 1 species